ensembl:lncRNA
CAAGCCUGGCUGAAUGCGGAUGACUGGGGACCUGGGCACCUGGCUGUUUAUUUUGUAUCCUUUUAAUGCUUUUGUAAUAGAAAUAAACACUUUCGCAGUAAGAAAAUAGAAAAAUACGGAUAAGACAAGAGACACGUGAAGAACAUUCACAGCCCUGCCUCCCAGAAGUAAGUCUGUUUUACUUUUCCUUCCAGUCUUUUUUCUGUGCGUCCACACGUGUGUGCAGGUGCUGCUCAUCCGUAGGAGGACUUCUGCUUGGGGAAUUUGAUUCUUCUCCAUUUUGCACUGGAGGGCAGAGUCUUAACCAACUGAGCUACACGGGAAGCCGAUACGGAUGGGCUUAAUAAAAUCUUGGGCAUAGGUAGACGACACUUCUAUCAAAAUGAUCAGCAGCAAAGGACCAGAGAAAUCCAUCCCUGCCUCCAGAGGGAAGAGAGAGGUAUAAAACAGGGAUGUCCUGAGGGCUGCACCCCAGAGCCACGCUCUGCUCUGAAGGUGAGUUUCCAGAUCGCGUGCGAUGAGAAUGGAAACACAAGCAAGAUCGAAAUCAGACGGCCAGGGGCUGACACUCUGUGGGCGGGGAAAGAGACAGGGACAAAACCCAGCUGCGGCCCUGGCAGAUGGGCAGACCAAAGUGGUGGCAGCAAGGGUGACGCUUUAAGAAAAGACAUAAAUGUGGCUGGUAGGAGGGGGAGCCAGUCGAGAGGCAGGAGUGAAGGGAGACAGGGGAGAGGAUGAACAGUGAGGAUGUGAGGAGGGCAGGGGGAGGGUGGAAGCGAGACCAGCCAGAGGAAAACAGAGCUUAAAAGACCUAGAAAGAGUGAGGUAUAUGAAACCCAUCUGAGAGACUGAUCGAAUGCUCACCCUCCAUGUGCAUCCAGCGAUGUCACCCACCUGUGCCCAGCACAGGGGCUCUGUGAAUACAGUGUGGAGGGGAUCACAGUCCUGGGGAGUAUCUCCCCAAGAUAAGGUGAUGGAAAUGCCGCUGUUUGUUGGUUUGUCGGUGGAGAUACACGAGCCCCUGUCCUGGGGAUCCCCCUCCUCCACAAGGCUAAGUCAGAAUAAAUAAAGUUUUCCACCCUGAAUAAG